CUUCAACAAAACAAAAUUAAUACAAAGUUGAAAGAUGGAAGGCAGACGAUUUCGAAGGUUUAGCAGAUGGCAAAGAAGCAAUGAGACUCUAUUGCCUAUGAGCAUUAAUCGCCUAUCCAACACUAUCUCUUGUUGGUAUUGUGACUACAAGUCGUCAAUAUUGAAUGAACCCCUGUUUCAUUUCGGACGAAGAUACUCAAGGCUGUGGGAUGAUCACGCCGGGAGGGGAAGAGAGACUUCAGGAGACAAGACAAGGUAGUAAAGAAAGAGGAAAAUAGUUCGUAAAAAUAUCAAUAAUGAAAGUCGUACUAUUAUAUUAUUUCUAAUAACUUGCUAUCUCACUUUAUUUGUUUAUUUUUUGAUUGGAAUCUUAAUUUGAGCUGGAUGAGUUGUUCGUUUUUUUCUUUAUUUUUUUAUAGUCGUAACUCCUAUUUUUUCUUUGUUUUCUCUUUAAUAUCUAAGGAACCUCUUGAUAAUGAAAAGAAGUAGGAGGUCACAUUGUCAGAGAUUGAGACUGUUUAACUGGGUCCUGUUGCUUUUUCCGUUUAGCUUUUUUUCAACUUUUAAAUUAUACAAAGAGUUUUGUCAGGAAUAUAUUUCAGUCUGUCAGCCCGGAUGUAGUGCGAAAUAAGAAAGGUAAUCUUUGUUUGUGCUGAAUAUUUACCUUUCUUGGUUAUCUAGAAAAACUUCUAAGGAGAGAACAACAACAAGAAGACAAAUAAGGAGGAUUGUGCUAAGAGAAGGUGCAUUAAUAGUAAAUCUACGAAGUAGAAAAUUAGAAAUAUGUAGGAAGAGUUUAAUUACUUCUUUAAAGAAGAUAUCAUGUCACAUUGAAGUCACCAGAUAUUGUUUUUUGUUGCUCCUCUUCAAAUUUAGGGACAGAGUCAAGUCAGAUCUGCAAACUAAGUACUCCAUUUCGUGUAUGAAACAUUAAUGGAUGCUAUAAAGGAAAAUGAUGCACAUUUAAAUGCUCUGAAAGGCACAAUGUUUGUGCAUUAUCUUGGCAUACCAGGGCGUUCUAUUAGUCUGUGUUUAAUUAAGCAGUUGGCUAAGAAGUUUGACACCUAUUCUCAAUCAUUUGAUAUUGGAGGUUCUAGAAUGUCAUUUUGUACGAAGGAGGUGCAGGAUUGUCUUGGCUUCCAAUGUGUGAGCAAAAAUGUUAACAUUUAUGACUUGAGUGAUAAAAAUAUCGAACAACCAACUUUAGUACUCAAAAAAUAUUUUCCUGAUCUUGAUUUAAGAAAACUCUCAAGGACGACUGCCCUCGAUAAAAUUAGAACUUUUCGCAUGGAUGCUGACGGUUGGAAUGAUGACUUUUUGUGACUAUGUAUAUUCUACAUGUUCUCUGUUUUUUUCUUUCCACAAACCAAAAUGGAGUUGUCAUUUUGGCCCCUGGUGUACUUUGGUAAUCCAAUGGAUGAAUUUGAGAAACAUAACUGGGGAAAGACUAUCUAUGAUUUCUUAAUUCUCUAUGUUGGGAGAUUUAAAGAAGGGAAGGUGGUGACCUAUUUGCAAGGAUGUUUGCAACUGUUGGAGGUCAGAACCAAAUUAAUCUUAAAUAAAUGUUCGGCCCAUAAUUUGGCUAAGAUAUGCAGCUCAUUUUAUCUGUUUAUUUUGAGUUUUUUGACAGGCAUUAGAUGACCGAAAGCUGAAAUUGAGUGCCGGUCUAAAUGUUGUAACCUCUUAAGCUGCCAUUGUCACCUAUGAUAAAGGUGACACCAGGAGCUCAGACAAAAUACGCCAUGCUUUAGUUUUGUCAAAUUCAGUAUUACACAAACUCACAAUGAUUUUCCUUUAGUUGUAUCAGAAAUGUAUUAGUUCACAUAAUUAUCAUCAUUCACUGGAUUAUUAUUGUUAUCUAAAUAGCUAAGAAGUGUGACGCCUGCACUCUCUCGGAUAAUGUUGUGGGAGAAUCAUCGAAACAGCAGAAUGUUGGAAACACAUCCGAACAUCAGGAAAGCACAUCCAAUGACGAGAUGACAGACGAUUGGCCAAAACGUUUGACGCUUCUUCUCCUCGACGAGGUAUUAUUUGCUUAUAUGAUAGAUUGGAUUUCAAACUAAAGAUUGAUAAGCAAAUAAUACCUCGUCGAGGAGAAGAAUCGUCAAACGUUUUGGCCAAUCGUCUGUCAUCUCUCGUCGUUGGAUGUGCUUUCCUGUUCGGAUGUGUUUCCGACAUUCUGCUGUUUUGGCGAUUCUACCACAACAUUAUGCGAGAGAGUGCAGGCGUCACCCGUUUUUUUAGCUAUUUAGAUAACAAUAAUAAUCUAGUGAAUGAUGAUGUUAAUUCUGUGAACUAAUAAAUUUCAGAUACAACUAGAGGAAAAUCAUUGUGAGUUUGUGUAGCACUGAAUUUGAAAAAACCAAAGCCUGUCGUAUUUUGUGUGAGCUCCUGGUGUCACCUUUAUCAUAGGUGACAAUGGCAGCUUAAGAGGCUACAAUAUUUAGACCGGUACUCAAUUUCAGCUUUCGGUCAUCUAAUGCCUGUCAAAAAACUCAAAAUAAACAGAUAAAAUGAGCUGCAUAUCUUAGCCAAAUUAUGGGCCGAACAUUUAUUUAAGAUUAAUUUGGUUCUGACCUCCAACAGUGGCAAACAUCCUUGCAAAUAGGUCACCACCUUCCCUUCUUUAAAUCUCCCAACAUAGAGAAUUAAGAAAUCAUAGAUAGCCUUUCCCCAAUUAUGUUUCUCAAAUUCAUCCAUUGAACUACCAAAGUACACCAGGGGCCAAAAUGACAACUCCAUUUUGGUUUAUGGAAAGAAAAAAAUAGAGAACAUGUAGCAUAUACAUAGUCUCAAAAAAUCAUCAUUCCAUCCGUCAACAUCCAUGGGAAAAGUUCUAAUUUUAUUGAGGGCAGUCGUCUUUGAGAGUUUUCUUAAAUCAAGAUCAGGAAAAUAUUCUUUGAGUACUAAAGUUGACUGUUCGAUAUUUUUAUCACUCAAGUCAUGAGUGUCAACAUUUUUGCCCAUACACUGGAAGCCAAGGCAAUCCUGCACCUCCAUACAAAAUACAAAAAACAUUCUAGAACCUCCAAUAUCAAAUAAUUGAAAACGGGUGUCAAACCUCUUAGGCAGCUGCUCAAUUAAACUCACACUAUAUGUCGAGAUCUUUUAGAGCAUUUAACUGUGCAUCAUUUUCCUUUAUAGCAUCCAUUAAAUGUUUCAUACAUGAGAUGGAACACUUAGUUUGCAGAUCUGCCUUGACUCUGCCCCUAAUUUUGAAGAGGAGCAACAAAAAACAAUAUUUGGUGACUUCAACGUGACAUGAUAUCUUCGUUAAAGAAGUAAUUAAACUCUUCCUACAUAUUUCUAAUUUUCUACUUCGUAGAUUUACUGUUAAUGUAACUUCUCUUGGCACAAUCUUCCUUAUUUGUCUUCUUGUUGUUUUCUUCUUAGAAGUUUUUGUAGGAAGAGUCUUCUUGUUGUUUUCUUCUUAGAAGUUUUUGUAAAUAUCCCGCACAAACAAAGAUUACCUUUCUUAUUUCGCACUACAUCCGGGCUGACAGACUGAAAUAUAUUCAUGACAGAACUCUUUGUAUAAUUUAAAAGUUGAAGAAAAGCUAAACGGAAAAAGCAAGAAGACUCAGUUGAACAUUCUCAAUCUCUGACAAUGUGACCUCCUACUUCUUUUCGUUAUCAAGAGGUUCCCUAGAUAUUAAAGAGAAAAAAUAGGAACUACGGCUAUAAAAAAUAAAGUAAAAAAAGAACAACUAGUUCAACACAAAUUAAGGUUUCAAUUAAAAAACAAGCAAAUAAAGUGAGAUAGCAAGUUAUUAGAGAUAAUAUAGCAGUACGACUUUCAUUAUUGACAUUUUUAUGAACUAUUUCCCUUUUUCUUUUCCACCCUGUCUCGUCUACAGAAACCUUUCUUCCCCUUCCGGCGUCAUCAUCCCGCAGCCUAGAGAAAGAAAAUGAUUCAACAGAUAUAAAGCUGAGAAAAAUAUGCACCUACAUGUUGGCUUGAAACGACUAAAUACAGUUCUGGAAGUACUCUUCCAUAUUUACAUCUUGAGGAGGCCAAGUGUUCUAUGAUGAUCUCCCACAUAUCAUGUGCACAUGAUCCUCUUAUUAUGUGCGACGUAAACACUGGACAACGACUAUAUAUAUAUCAUAAGCUACAACUAAAUGUUAUUGGGUGAAAACUCUUUUUUUAAAUAUGUGUUAGCUACAGGCUAAAUCAUAAGCUAGAGAAAUAUAGGACAACCUUUCCUUCAUCAUUCCAACUUCCAUAACCAUAUCCCUUGUGUCAUUUAGCGAAAACCGUCACUAUCUUUAUCUAUAUGAAGAUCUCCCCCAAUAAAGAUAAGUUGGUCGCAGACACUUAGUUUUAGUUUCUGCAUCUAAUCCAAUUUGUGGAGCGUAGGAAACUAAAAACAUUGAUCGUCUCAUACCCUAACCUCAACUUGCUUUUAAAAAUCGCCGAUUAUGAUUGAGGAUGAUGAUGGUGGGUGGUGGUGGUAGUUGUGACUGAGGAAGGUGUUGGUGGGUGGUGGUAGUUUAUAAUGAUGGGCAGUGCCAACUAUGUUUGUUGAUGGUGAUGAGGUGGCUAGUUGUGGUAGUUGAGGUGGAUGAGUGUAUGGUUGUGGUUGAGAAUGAUGGUGGUGGGAAUAAUGGAUGGUUGUAGUUGAUAAUGGUGGCGGCUAUGAUUGAGGAUGAUGGUGGUCGUGGUUGAGUAUUGUGGUGGACUGGUGGUGAUUGAUAAUGAUAGGUGGUGGCGGCAGUAAUAAUGAAUGUGGAUGAUAUCAUCUUAAUGAAAUUAAGUCUUUGUUAUAGAUCUUAAUCAUACAGACCUAUCCAGACCCAUUAAGUGGUUGUAAAGUAAAAAAAAAUAAACACACUUAAUAAUUAAAUCUGAAUAAUUAAGAUUCAGACUUUAAAAAUAAACACACUUAAUGUCUGCGAUCUGAAUGAUUAAGAUUCAGACCUCUAUUAAGUGCAAACAAAAUGAGGCCUCAAUCACCUCUCUCUUCUUCAACUUCAUCUGAAAUCCAUCUUUCGAUGGCCGGAUGGGGAAGGCAACCUCAAUCUUUGACAUCCAAUGAAAGACUACCAUUAACUUUGUCUUCAUCAUCUCGGACGUCGCUAUUGAUAACUUCUACCUCAGUCGACUGCGGAAAUCUUGGGGUCAAACUCCCGAUGUUGCCGUAAAUGGCAUCAAAAGCUCACUGACAAUGUAUUUUGAACUUCAAUGGAGGUCUCUACAAAGACGCAGAAUGUGGUUGUUCGGUCUAGUGCAGAAGCAGAAUAUCGAGCAAUGGCUUGGCAACAUGUUAGCUAGUUUGGAUCAAACAAUUGCUCAAGGAGUUAAAAUUUGAUGAAAUUGGCCAGAUGAACUUGUGUGUGAUAAUCAAGCUAUCCUUCAUAUUGCAUCAAAUCCGGUGUUCCUUGAGAGAACUAAACACAUUGAGAUUGACUGUCACUCCGUCAGAGAAAAGAUACUCUUAGGGGAUAUUGCUAUAAAGUUUGUGAAGUUGAAUGAUCAACUUACUGAUACUUUCACCAAGUCCUUUGCUGGUCCUCGUAGUAGUUACAUAUGUAACAAGCUCGAUACAUAUGAUUUGUAUGCACCGGCUUCUGGGUGAGUGCUAGAUAGCUAGAUGUUAUGUAAAUAAGCGUAGUCCUACAUGGAAUAGGAGUACCGCAGAUUUUGUAUAUUGUUAUAAAUAGGGGUUCUUUUAUUAUAGUUAAGGUAUAUAAACAAUAUAAUUUUCCCGUGAGAAAUUGUGUAUUCUUUCUCACAGUAUACAUCGAAUUAUGUACUCAAUAAAUCUCGCGUCGCUUGUGUGUUGCAGAAUAUACUCAUAUGUUAUAAGAAGUUUUAGCUUUGGCGAAGCCAGUUUUAUGAGAUCAAGCUGGCUUGUGAACCCUCUAAGGUUAGCUUAAGAUUUCUAAGCUUAACCUUUUUCUGGACGGUAAGAUAUCUAACAUACUUGAUUUGUGAGCUAGGAGUUGAGAAAACUGUGAGAGACCGAGAGGUGAUAUUUGUUAACUGACAAACAAAUGUAGAUUGACUAGAAGCAUUCUUUAAAAACUAAGAGUUAAGAUGCCGAAUCUCAGCUCUUUAAAAGAAGCUAAGAAAACAAGAUAGAGCUAGAGCUAAAGAAACAAGGGAGAGCUGGGAUCUUUUCAUCAAAUUAUCAAGUAAUCAAUAACUCUCGCCUCCCUUCUCACAAUAUGCACACAAGAACUACAUAAUAUGAGAAGGUUAGACUGAGCCUAGUUCUAUGAGAUCAAGCUUGUUUUGCAAGCCCAAUGAGUGGCUGGGUUGGUUUGCACGGCUAGUCCACCGGUUUCCUGCUAUUUCUCACCAACAUGAAUACUGGGUAACUUAACCUACCAAGAAUUAAAUAAAUGGGAAGAGUUCACCUUCUGCGGCCUCCAUUGGGAUUCAAACCUUUGUUUGCAAGGUUGUUAUUCCACUCUUCAACUGUUAGGCCAUCCCUUGCGAUUGUGGAAGUUUUAAUGUGUUGACA